GAGAAAUGAGGAUAAUAUGUUUGAGUCAAAGGGAAUUCCCAAAAAUCUAUUUCUGGUACAGAAAUUGCAAAUGCCUGCACAAUUAAAAGUUACAUAAACAGAUUCUUAACUUGAUAGAAAAUAUGUGCUUGGAUAAUACUAGUUCUAGGAAAAUAUUUGUCGCUUUACCUUCGCUAACCAGUAAACACAGUUCAACAAUUAUAAUCAUUUCAACACCAGCUAAUAUGCACCUCGUCCAACCCUCCGAUCAUCUCGCCCCCUUCCCAUGUAUACAUCACGGCGAUAGUCUUUGGGCGGUGGUCCACCUCUCACUGGAGAACGGCUUCUUUCCCUGGUAUCACGUGGCCAUUGGCCACGAGGUGGUAGUACUGGUGGAUGAGGUGGAGAUGGUGUUCGCCUUUCAUAACCUUUUCUCUCACUCAAAUAGCUGUCUCUCCCGCGCUCUCUAUGUCCCCAAUCCAGGGCUGGAGGCCGCUCAAACCUACUUCGAUCCCUACCAUCAGCAUCAGCAAAAGCAGGCCUAUCUCUACGGAUUGGAGGAUCUGCAAACCUCCCUUCAAAUCUUGAAUGAGGAACACCAGCUCUGAAAUCUCGGGGGUCAUCUCUAGCCCAGCCGCGAGGAGGGGACCUAUACCCAUUCACAAACCUUCCUGGAGAACGGUUGAUUGGGGGGCCAGGAUUGCGAUGAUGAGGAGGUGGGCUGGGAUAACCCCUCCGAGGACUUCCUGGAGGUGCAUAUCGAGGCCUUUUGCACUUGUUACAGUUCUCUCGUCUUGCAAAGUUCAAGUUGUUACACAAGGGAUCCGUGCACAUCCAAUCACCAUCUCUUGGCCGUACAUUUGGAUUGCUUCUAGGCAGACCUUCUCCUCUAACUUGCCGUCCACCAUAACCAGGUCCAUCAUAACUUCUGCCAACAAACCUGCCAGCAUGUCUCCCGCGACCAUAAGGGGGGGAAUAGUCUCGAUGUCUACCAGGAUCUCUACCGCUACCAAAUCCAUGACUACGUUGCGGGCCACCUGAAUGAUCAAAAUCAGUACUAUACCGAUGAUCUGCAUUCCUAUGGCGCACAGGUGAAACAGAACCUGCAUGCGCUCUAUAUCCAUGGGUAUCAGAGAAUCGAUCGGAACGUGAAUACGGCGGUGCAUCCCGACGAACCUCACCUGGCUCGUAAUCGCUACCUGCACCGCCACCUCCAUUUUCUCCGCCGCUGUCAGUAGGCCGUACAACGAGGCUGCUCAGGUGCGGUGUUGGCUGGUCCUUCUCACGCGAACCCAUAUUGCGC
rnacentral:misc_RNA from 1 species